AGUGUCUGCAGGGACAGAAAAUGAAAGGGCUGUAGAAAGAGAAAGCAUACAGUUUGAAAUGGGAUUUAGAAGAGUUUGAUUUUACUCUUAGUUUUAGUGGGAUUUAACUUUACAUGCUAGUAGACAACAACUAGAAUGCUUCCCAUUCUUAUGAUUUAAAGGUUUUUUUUCUAUACAGUUGCUUCUCUGGCAGAAAGGGGGCUUGAAAAGAUACACUGGUCACUUUGAUUUCACGAGUCAGCUUUUCAUACAGUAAGGGAAAAUUACAUCUGUUUGUAAUAUUGAAAUGAUCCUUGGCUGAGUGAAGAAAAAAGUGCUCCAACCUGGAUUGAAGCUGAGGAUGCAGAUCUGAUCUUACAUAUAUCUCUGUUGGAUCUGAGUCAGCUUUAUGUGAAGGCAGCCCUGACCUUGAGGGCCCAAACAACAGGCUGAUUUGAUGAAAGUAAUGCGUCCCUUUAACUUCCCGCAGAAAGAGUUGCUGUGGAAAGUCUUGGCAGAGCUUCUCAAGUGGGUUGCAGUGUGCUGGGAGUGAAAUGCAUAGCUUUGUUAGGUUCAUGUAGCAGAGGCUGUGCAUGACAGAGAGGCAAUGUGUUGGUGCAGUCUGAUUCCUCGCUUGACCUUGCCAAAAGUGAUGCUUGUGCUGUUCAGCACAACAUUAUCAUAGAGUACUUUGGGUUGGAGGGGAUCUUCAUAGGUCAUUAGUCCAAGUCCUCUACAGUGAGCAGGAACAUCUUCAAUUAGAUCAGGUUGCCCAGAAUCACAUCCAGCCUGGUCUACAUUCAUGAGAUGAAUGGUGGUGACUUUGGCGGAAAGGUUGUACUUUGAGUUUGGGAGAUUGACGAAGGGGUCACUAGCUGGCAAGGAAAAAGCAUAAACAGAGAUGUUCUGAGCACUGGGUGGGGAUCUCUGGGGAGCACAAUGGGGAAGGCUGUAUAGGUACUGGUAACCUCUGACCACAGUCAGGGGAGUCAGCAGUGGAGAGAGGUAUUGCCAUACACAAAACCCCUGUUUGUGCUGUGGCUGUGUGGGGUGCAUGCCAGAGCACAGAGAGUUUGGUGUGUGACUUGUAGAGUCUGUGGCAAGAAUGAAUAAAUUAGUGCUUGUCCAGACUCACAUUUUUUUGUUGACAGUACAUAACACCACAGCUGCUUUGUCAGCAUCAGUGCUGAUUCAUGGAAAAGCAGCUAAUGCCUGCAUCUUCCAUAGCUCCAGCCAUGUGAGCAGGUUAACAGGGGCUGGUGGCAGCAUCAGAUGUGCUUUGUUGCUGGUUGUUUCUCUAUGACUCCUGCUUAACCCUGAUGGUUUACGGAGCCACUCAUGGGCAGUCUCCCUGAGUGUUUGGUUUUUGUGUCUGCAGCUGCAGUGUGCUGGAAGAGACAGGGAGUCCCUCAGGGUCAUAGCAGAGUUUGAUCUGCGGUGCGUGGAAAAGAUCUGUUGUGUCUGUGCUUCUGAGAGGCCAGGAAGGAGCAGAUGGUUUUUGGAUGGGACCAAAGUACCUGAGGGGAACCUGUUGGGCGAGUGUCAGCACCAGCUGCAGCCACUUCCCUUGCUUGCCAGUGCUGGGAAGGUAGUCCAUGGGGUAGCCUAUACUUCCUUUCUUUUCUCACUGUAUUUCCUGUUCUUGCCUGGUAGUUUUGCUCAUAACACUACCUUACCCAACCUUUUUUGAAUCAGCAGUCCCAGUUAUAGUUAGAUCUUUCUUAUAUCCUGUAUCCUGGCUGGCUCUGCAGAGCUGAGAGUCCAGGGUUUGAUGUGCAGAGACUGGUGAGGCUGCACCUCAAAUACUGUGUUCGGUUCUGCACCCCUCACUACCAGAGAGACACUGAGGUGCUGGAGCGGGUCAGGAGAAGGGCAGUGAAGCUGUUGAAGGAUCUGGAGCACAAAUCUGAUGAGGAGCAGCUGAAGGAAGUGGGGCUGUUUAGUCUGGAGAACAGAGGGCUCAGAGGAGACCUUAUCACUCUCUACAACUGCCUGAAAGCAGGUUGAAGUGAGGUGGGGUUGGUCCCUUCUCCCAAGUAACAAGCAAUAGGACAAGAGGUAACAGCCUCAAGCUGCACCAGGGGAGGUUUAGAUUGGAUAU